rnacentral:rRNA from 1 species
CGGGUGAGUAAUGUAUAGGAACUUGCCUAGUAGUGGGGGAUAACGUGUGGAAACGCACGCUAAUACCGCAUACGCUCUACGGAGGAAAGCGGGGGAUCUUCGGACCUCGUGCUACUAGAUGGGCCUAUAUCAGAUUAGCUAGUUGGUAAGGUAAUGGCUUACCAAGGCUACGAUGGGUAGCUGGUCUGAGAGGAUGAUCAGCCACACUGGAACUGAGACACGGUCCAG